GAAUAUUGGACAAUGGAGGGAACCCUGAUCCAGCCAUGCCGCGUGUGUGAAGAAGGCCUUUUGGUCGUAAAACACGUUGAGCGAGGAGGAAGAGCUUUGGGAUGUAACUCAAGAUGCCUGGACGUUACUAGCAGAAGAAGCACCGGCUAACCGUGUGCCAGCAGCCGCGGUAUACAGAGGGUGCAAGCGUUAAUCGGAUUUACUGGGCGUAAAGCGCGCGUAGGUGGCCAAUUAAGUCAAAUGUGAAAUCCCCGAGCUUAACUUGGGAAUUGCAUUCGAUACUGGUUGGCUAGAGUAUGGGAGAGGAUGGUAGAAUUCCAGGUUUAGCGGUGAAAUGCGUAGAGAUCUGGAGGAAUACCGAUGGCGAAGGCAGCCAUCUGGCCUAAUACUGACACUGAGGUGCGAAAGCAUGGGGAGCAAACA
rnacentral:rRNA from 1 species